UGCAAAUGAUGUUUUUCUCACGAUGGUCUUCCAAGUCUCGACUUUGACGAUGUCGCCUUAUGGCAACACUGAUGCACCCAG